UUUUACAAAGGAAAAUUUAUGCUGUGAUUUUAGGCAGAAAGUUGACACCAGAGAAUUCUUCCUGCUGCUUCUCAAUUUCCUUCAGCUCAAAAAUGAUCCUUAUGCCAAUAUGGAAUAUUUUUGGGGUGGCAUAUUCUGCUCCUCUUCAGCAUCCUUCCUGCUCUGUGGCCUGUUGUGCUUCAAUUUCGUCAUCUUCAAAACCAGGAAGAGCUAUAUUCAUCUUAUCUCACAAAGCUGAUUAACAUAAAUGAAGGAGCCUUGGAAAAUGGAAAGCAUUAUACAAAUUAGGGUAUAACCACAUGACUAAUGUCACAUAUAAAAAUGGAGAACGGGUGCACAUUAAAGAGUAGGUAAGUGGUUAAUAUACUUUUUCUCUCUCAAUCCUCCCA
rnacentral:lncRNA from 1 species